UACGUAGGCAGCAAGCGUUGUUCGGAAUUACUGGGCGUAAAGGGUGCGUAGGCGGUCGGGUAAGUCUGACGUGAAAUCUCCGGGCCUAACCCGGAAACUGCGUUGGAAACUAUCAGGCUAGAGGAAUGGAGGGGAGACUGGAAUACUUGGUGUAGCAGUGAAAUGCGUAGAUAUCAAGUGGAACACCAGUGGCGAAGGCGAGUCUCUGGACAUUUCCUGACGCUGAGGCACGAAAGCCAGGGGAGCAAACGGG
rnacentral:rRNA from 1 species